AAUAGAUACCCUGGUAGUCCACGCCGUAAACUAUGGAUGCUAGCUGUUAGAAGUAUCGACCCUUCUAGUAGCGAAGCUAACGCGUUAAGCAUCCCGCCUGUGGAGUACGGUCGCAAGACUAAAACAUAAAGGAAUUGACGGGGACCCGCACAAGCGGUGGAGCGUGUUGUUUAAUUCGAUGGUAAGCGAAGAACCUUACCCAGGCUUGACAUCCUUGGAAAGCUUCCGAAAGGAAACUGUGCCCUCGGGAACCAAGUGACAGGUGAUGCAUGGCCGUCGUCAGCUCGUGUCGUGAGAUGUUUGGUUAAGUCCAUCAACGAGCGCAACCCUUUUAGUUAGUUGUAUUUCUCUAGCUAGACUGCCCUGGUAACAGGGAGGAAGGAGGGGAUGAUGUCAGGUCAGUAUUUCCCUUACGUCUGGGGCUACAAACACGCUACAAUGGCCGGUACAAAGGGCAGCCAAGUCGCGAGACGGAGCAAAUCCCAUCAAAGCCGGUCUCAGUUCGGAUAGCAGGCUGAAACUCGCCUGCUUGAAG
rnacentral:rRNA from 1 species